rnacentral:tRNA from 1 species
GCCCUCGUAGCUCAGAUGGACAGAGCAGGAGUUUCCUAAACUCUUGGCCGCGUGUUCGAAUCACGCCGAGGGCA